GAUGGAAACUUAAGUUAUUUGUUUUAAUUUAGUUUGGUUGCUAUUAGUUACAAUAUUAAUAAUUAAUAAUUAGCACGAAAGAAAUUAUUAUCCCUGAAUUUGUUAAUAUUAUUUUUUAUUAUUUGUUUCCAUGGUCAUCGAUGAAUCAACACAAUGCAUUACAUUGCCAACAAAUUUCUGUAAAACAAUGCCCAACGGCAAAGACCAAUGAGUUAAUUGACAAAGUUUUUCCAAAUCUACCACAAAAUUACAGAAAUCGUUAGUGGUUCAGUGGACGGGCUAUAUUGGCAGCCAACAACUAUGAUGUAACAUGUAAAUGCAAUCAAUAUCACCACUCUAAAUGAAAUUCCAGGCGACACGACAACGUACCAGUCCAUCGAUAACGCAUGCCACUGCACAUUCAACAUUUAAAUUUGGCGUGCCUAUCUUCCUAUUCUUCUACGAAACAUCAAUUCACCACGACUCUGCAACGGUACCAGGCUUUCAGUGACAAAAUUGAUGGACAAAAUUAUCGAAGCUACAAUUUUAACCAUUUUCAUUGCGACUCGCCUUUGCAAUGACCAUCAAUAAAGCUCAAGUACGAUCGCUACAAGUGUGUGGACUGAAUUUAGAAAAUCCAUGCUUCUCACAUAGAAGCAUGAUCACAAGUCAGAAAACCUUCAGAUUUAUUUAUGUACGCACCAGAAGGAAGAACAAAAAAUAUUUUGUACCCAAAAGCACUUAAAUAAAUAUCAUUUAAUUGAAUA